ACCUGGGUGGCUCAGUUGGUUGGGCAUCUGACUUCAGCUCAGGUCAUGACCUCACAGCUUGUGGGUUUGAGCCCCACGUCGGGCU
rfam:Felis catus isolate Cinnamon breed Abyssinian chromosome B2, whole genome shotgun sequence.